CAGUCGAGCGAGACCUUCGGGUCUAGCGGCGGACGGGUGAGUAACGCGUGGGAACGUGCCCUUUGCUACGGAAUAGUCCCGGGAAACUGGGUUUAAUACCGUAUGUGCCCUUCGGGGGAAAGAUUUAUCGGCAAAGGAUCGGCCCGCGUUGGAUUAGGUAGUUGGUGGGGUAAUGGCCUACCAAGCCGACGAUCCAUAGCUGGUUUGAGAGGAUGAUCAGCCACACUGGGACUGAGACACGGCCCAGACUCCUACGGGAGGCAGCAGUGGGGAAUCUUAGACAAUGGGGGCAACCCUGAUCUAGCCAUGCCGCGUGAGUGAUGAAGGCCUUAGGGUUGUAAAGCUCUUUCAGCUGGGAAGAUAAUGACGGUACCAGCAGAAGAAGCCCCGGCUAACUCCGUGCCAGCAGCCGCGGUAAUACGGAGGGGGCUAGCGUUGUUCGGAAUUACUGGGCGUAAAGCGCACGUAGGCGGACUGGAAAGUUGGGGGUGAAAUCCCGGGGCUCAACCUCGGAACUGCCUUCAAAACUAUCAGUCUGGAGUUCGAGAGAGGUGAGUGGAAUACCGAGUGUAGAGGUGAAAUUCGUAGAUAUUCGGUGGAACACC
rnacentral:rRNA from 1 species